rnacentral:ncRNA from 1 species
GACUUCUGCCUAGUGCUCUGAAUAUCAAAGUGAAGAAAUUCAAUGAAGCGCAGGUAAAUGGCGGGAGUAACUAUGACUUAAGGUAGCCAAAUGCCUCGUCAUCUAAUUAGUGACACGCAUGACUGGAU